GGAGAUACACCUGUUCCCAUGCCGAACACAGAAGUUAAGCCCUAGUACGCCUGAUGUAGUUGGGGGUUGCCCCCUG
rnacentral:rRNA from 1 species